AUUCCAGCUCCAAUAGUGUAUAUUAAAGUUGUUGCAGUUAAAAAGCUCGUAGUUGGAUUUCUGGCGGGAGCGAUCGGUCCUUCACUCAGUGUUGGAACCUGAUUGUCUCCUGCCAUCCAUGGAGAAAACUUAUCUGGCAUUAAGUUGUCGGGUAGGCAAUCUCCAUCUUUUACUGUGAAAAAAUCAGAGUGUUUCAAGCAGGCAUCAUCGCUCUUGCAUGGAUUAGCAUGGGAUAAUGAAAUAGGACCUUGGUGCUAUCUUGUUGGUUUCGAGCACCGAAGUAAUGAUUAACAGGGACAGUCAGGGGCACUCGUAUUCCGCCGAGAGAGGUGAAAUUCUCAGGCCAGCGGAAGACGAACCACUGCGAAAGCAUUUGCCAGGGAUGUUUUCAUCA
rnacentral:rRNA from 1 species